UUCGUCCUUUAUUACACGCCAUAAAGAUUAUAUAAUGUACACAUAAGUUCACCAUCUUGAAAUAAUGCCUAAUGUUGCUAAAUAUCUUCGUACAAAGCCAGAAAAUACGCUUUGUCGCAAUAAUAUGAACCUUGAAAAUCGUGUCGCUCAUUGUUUACAUCAAAUCUGAAUUCACAUACCUUAAAAGUAGGCGGAAGUGACCUAUCCUGUAUAAUUUCACUAUGGCGCGUGAGCGACUGGUUCCGAGAGUUCGCAUCUUCAGGUAUGGCAUACAGUAAAAAUGCUAUUGCGAAACUGGUAAAUUAUAAGAUUUUGAUCGCCAUUUACAAAAAAACUGCAGGGUGAACCCGCAAGAACUUUUUAGAUUUGGAUUCAGCGUCAUUUAAUCUAUAAGAA